rnacentral:rRNA from 1 species
UACGUAGGGUGCAAGCGUUGUCCGGAAUUAUUGGGCGUAAAGAGCUCGUAGGCGGCUUGUCACGUCGGAUGUGAAAGCCCGGGGCUUAACUCCGGGUCUGCAUUCGAUACGGGCUAGCUAGAGUGUGGUAGGGGAGAUCGGAAUUCCUGGUGUAGCGGUGAAAUGCGCAGAUAUCAGGAGGAACACCGGUGGCGAAGGCGGAUCUCUGGGCCAUUACUGACGCUGAGGAACGAAAGCCAGGGUAGCGAACGGG